AGUGAACGCUGGCGGUAGGCCUAACACAUGCAAGUCGAAAGAGUGGCGGACGGGUGAGGAAUACAUCGGAAUCUACUCUGUCGAGGGGGAUAACGUAGGGAAACUUACGCUAAUACCGAAUACGAUAGAAUCAGCCGAUGUCGGAUUAGCUAGUUGGCGGGGGAAAGGCCCACAAAGGAGACGAUCCGUAGCUGGUCUGAGAGGCUGAUCAGCCACACUGGAACUGAGACACGGUACAGACUCCUACGGGAGGCAGCAGUGGGGAAUAUUGGACAAUGGGCGCAAUCCUGAUCCAGCCAUGCCGCGUGGGUGAAGAAGGCCUUCGGGUUGUAAAGCCCUUUUGUUGGGAAAGCGUUACCCAAAGAAUAAGCACCGGCUAACUUCGUGCCAGCCGCCGCGGUAAUAC
rnacentral:rRNA from 1 species